GAUGAAGAACGCAGCGAAAUGCGAUAAGUAAUGUGAAUUGCAGAAUUCAGUGAAUCAUCGAAUCUUUGAACGCACAUUGCGCCCGCCAGUAUUCUGGCGGGCAUGCCUGUUCGAGCGUCAUUUCAACCAUCAAGCCCCAGGCUUGUGUUGGGGACCUGCGGCUGCCGCAGGCCCUGAAAACCAGUGGCGGGCUCGCUGUCACACCGGGCGUAGUAGAUUUUAUCUCGCUCAGGGCGUGCUGCGGGUUCCGGCCGUUAAAAAGCCUUUUUUACCCAAGGUUGACCUCGGAUCAGGUAGGAAGACCCGCUGAACUUAAGCAUAUCAAUAGCGGAGGA
rnacentral:misc_RNA from 1 species